GAACAAGGGCAGCCUUACCUUGCGCGGCGGAGCCGGGGCUGCUGGCGCUCAGGAUGGCCAAGGCGGGCAGCACGAGCAUUUGCAGUUUAUGGAACCCAAGUUCUCAAGAAUAUCAAACCAUAUAUCAUCAUUUCUUAUGAAAAUAUGCAUCGGUGGCCUAUAUGCUUCCAUCUCUUACCACCACCUGGACAUUCUAGGCUGACUUGGUCAACAUUUUAAUGGCAGGUCAAGGCAAGGACCUCCACUCAUGUCGGCGCCAUUCCCACGGAAGAGCUUGGUUUCAUCUUUGCGAUCAUCAUUCAUAGUGUCACCCAGAGUAAUUAUUAGUGGACACUUGGCUGCUACAAGAAACACACACACUCUGUCAUCGUCCCAGGGAAGCCACGGAACCAAGAGGUGGGGAAAACAAUGCUGAUUUACUCUCUUUGAAGAAUAGCAGAGGGGAAAGGAAGUUAGCUCCACCGGGUGGAUUUUCAGCCUCUCGGAUUUUCAGUCCAUGCUGAAGAUUUUAAGAUUUUAUUGUUUUAUGUUCAUUGUAUUGUAAUUCCACAUUGUAU